CCAGUGGCAGAGUGCUUGCCUAGCAUGCAUGAGGCACUGGGUUCGAUUCUUAGCGCCUCAUAUAAAUAAAUAAAAUAAAGGUCCAUUGGCAACUAUAAAAAUUAUUUAAAAGAAAAUGGAAAAAACAGGAACUUGAACCCAGGGCUUCUGAUAACUGCUACAGGGCUCUGUCCUUCAUAUCUUUCCGCCUCUUCUGAUUUAGCAGAUUCUAUGAGAAAGAAUGGAGCUACAAGUAGAAUAUGAGUCUGGCUUCAGCAUUACAAAAUAAUUACUAUUAACUAAGCAUUUAUCAGUGUCAGGAAAUGUAUUUAUAUUACUUUAUUUAAUUCUCAGAACAACCCUGUGAAAUACAUAUAUUAUUAGUCCCAUCUCACAGAUGAGGAAACUGAUAUGCAGAGAGUUGUGACUUACCCAAAGCGUAGAGUAGACUUUACUCAAAUAAAAUUCUCAAUUGCUUUAGUACUAGCAUGUUGGCAUUUCUCUAGAUUUAAGAUUCCUUGUCUUAUCAGACACAAUGGUAUACACUUGUCCCAGGGAGGUUGAGGCAGGAGGAUUGCGAGUUUAAGAUCUGUCUCAGCAACUUAGUG
rnacentral:lncRNA from 1 species